ACUACGAGUUUGAUCCUGGCUCAGAUUGAACGCUGGCGGCAUGCCUUACACAUGCAAGUCGAGGGGUAUAGUUCUUCGGAACUAGAGACCGGCGCACGGGUGCGUAACGCGUAUGCAAUCUACCUUUUACAGGGGAAUAGCCCAGAGAAAUUUGGAUUAAUGCCCCAUAGUGUUAUAGAAUCGCAUGGUUUUAUAACUAAAGUUCCAACGGUAAAAGAUGAGCAUGCGUCCCAUUAGUUAGUUGGUAAGGUAACGGCUUACCAAGACAAUGAUGGGUAGGGGUCCUGAGAGGGAGAUCCCCCACACUGGUACUGAGACACGGACCAGACUCCUACGGGAGGCAGCAGUGAGGAAUAUUGGACAAUGGGCGCAAGCCUGAUCCAGCCAUGCCGCGUGCAGGAAGACGGUCCUAUGGAUUGUAAACUGCUUUUGUACAGGAAGAAACACUCCCUCGUGAGGGAGCUUGACGGUACUGUAAGAAUAAGGAUCGGCUAACUCCGUG
rnacentral:rRNA from 1 species